CAGCAUGAUUUACCACAUCACAUCACAGCAGCUCAGUACUGAUUAUAUAUAGAGCAAAGUGUGGACUCGUCAUGUCACAUUUAUUUGAAAAGGCACUUCAUUGGUGUAAAUCCUCAUGGAAGAUAUUGCAGCUAUGACAGUUUACACCAACACCUAAGCUUCCCUGGAAAUAACACAACAAAGCAGCAAUGUUAGUGACCAGUAGAGAAUUAUUAAAGGAACACAGAUAAUUGGAAGAAAAUAAAUGACCUGGGUAGAAGAGCUACUAUAAAAUGAAGUGCAGAUGGGAGAUGGAGAUGCUCAGAACCUCCUGGUAGUAUGCUACUUUCCAGUUCCACAGCUUCAUUUUUCUGCACUUCUACUGUUCAGCAUAAAAUCGUAAUGGUUUGAGUGCUUUUCAAAAAACAGGAAUGAUUAAGUACAUUCAUACUCAAAGAUCCUGAGAAAUUGACUCAUCUUAUAUGCUAUGGGAAGGAAUUUAAGGGUAUGGCCCCAAAACCUGUGCUCUGAUCAUCAGUCAAAAGCUCUGCUUCUUAUGCUCUGUCCCUCUUGAUCAGUGAGAAAAGAGAGGCAAAAGAGGAGCAUGGAAGUGGCUGGGGACCUAGCUGCAAGUCACAGCAAGGGCAUUUAAAAAUUAAAGGCAGGCAAGGAAAGCAUCCUCCAAGCACUUGGUUGUCAAGCUGGAGAUGGUGAUGUUCUAUAACCAGGAAGAAAUGAUGGUGAUGUGCAGUUCUGGGGCAGCUCUGCUGAGCCCAUUGCAGAAGGGACAGGGGGAGCUGCCAAGUAGCUGCCUAAGUAAUUUUUCUUAUGGAGACAUCUCUGCACAUUUCUGCCCCUCCAGACAGGUCCUGCUCACCCUCUACUUGGCCAGGUAUGCAACCUGCAAAGGGAACCCCCGGCUCCCAGCCCUCAGCAGAGAUGUGCCUCCAUACAACGCCAGGCCUCUCACCCCUCAGGAUGAAGACAGCAGCUGGGAAAAACAGAAAAAGAAAAGAAAAAGGAGAUUUUCUUCUUCAUUUGUAAAUUUUCUGAGUUUAAAGACACAUGACUUCGAUGUUACUGAAGAUUGUGUCAUAAUCAUCAAACGGAGCUGGUGCCAAAUAAACCAGAUGGAGCUUUCAAUCAACAAACUGCAUUUAUUAUUGAUAUCUGUGUCUUAUUUGUUAUCCAUGCACCUUUUAACAGGAUAAGAUUAAAGACAGAGUUUAAGACUGACGUAUGAAGACUAUUCCACAGAAUUCAGAUUCUGCAUGGGGAGUUAAUAUCUGAGUAUGGGCGAGUCACCUCUGUGGACUGAUCUGGUGGGCCCAGGCCAGUGCCACUCACCUCUCCACACCCAGCACUGUAAUCAGCAAGUCUCUACACAGAGCAGAAGAGUUAAGCAAUCAGGAUGACUUAACUAUCAACUUGACCUUUGAGAUCCCUUCAGAACAGGUUUGAUCCACACUGAUUUACUUUAUCCUUCAAACCAUCAGAUCUGUAUUAAAACCCUGAUUGACCAGAAGUAAUUAUUUGAUGCCUUAUGUUAGCAAUGUCCCAAGGCCCAGCAUGAAAACUGGGGAUGAAAGUCACACCUUACUGAAGUCAAAGGGAGAAUUACUUUCAGAGGAACUGAAAUUUCACCCAAAAAAAUCAUACCAACAGUGUUUGGGUCCUAUCUAUGUCUGAAGGCAUGUGAAUCUUUCUAUGGUGCCCAUCAUAUUAUGUGAAAGGUAUCUCACAAGCUACUCUGAUGUAUUUAAAAAUAGGAGAAUUUACUGAAAAAAAAAGUAGAGUGAUAAAUUAUGUACUGUUUUACUACAAAAUACUGUGCCACCUGAUAUGAUAAUUGUACUGUUCUGUCAUUCCUUUGGUAAUGAAAGUCUUCAUUUAUUUGUAUGUUAUUUUUUUACUGAACAUGAGGAGUACAUAGGGGGAAAAAUGCAAAAUCAACAUUAGACAUUUGUGAUAAUGGCAUUUGUUAUCAUGCAGGCUUAGGAGCAAUUAACAUAGACAUUUGUGAUAAUGACCAACAUAUAUCCUUGGAUUUCCAUAACUACUUAGUAACUUUAGUAAUUUAUUUUCCUCCCUUAAAAUUCCUUCAAAGGUCAUUUCCAUAACCCGCCACUUUCUGGGGCAGGUGAAUCAGCUGCCUUUUUAACUCCCUGUUUUUUCUCUAGGGAUAGUUUUCUACCUAUAUCUUGAUCCAAGCAGGUUGGAUUCUUUCCAAAAACUGCUGAAAAACUAGACCUCUCUGUCAUGUAGGUGAAGCACUGAUAUGCAGUUAACUCAGUAUAGUUCAAGUAUCAGGAUUUCUAGGAUAAUAUCACAUGAUUCUAGGAUGGAUACAUUCUGCAGGCACCAGUUUGUCGCUGAAGAUACUAAUCACAGAAGAAAGUGGUAUAGAAACUCAUAUUGAUGUUUUGCCUUUCCAAAGGAAGUGGAUGACAGCAAAGCAUAAUUCAAGGUCUGGUUGCCAACAUACUCAAUUAAGCAGAAUUUGGAGGAGGAGGAGAAGGAGGAGGGGAUGGCUGGAAACUCCCAGUCAUACUACAAAUGUCAGCUAUCUGCUGUCAGAGAAAUGGUGACGUUGAACCAAACUGUGAAAUAUGAGUAAUUCUUCAAAUAUUGCUGAUGAUGUAGCACCAGAUUUUUAUUUUUUUCCAUGUGCAUGUGACUGCUUUUGACCAUGACAGGUUUUCAUAAAUCUGGUGUCAUUAUAGAACACAUGACUUGUGUCACCACUGCUACAACAAGACAAAUCCAUCACAGAUCAAAGUGCCAGGAAAAGUCCUAUUCACAAUAUAAGCCCCACUUAAGCUUUCCAAAUACAGCUUGAGUGGAAUUUAAGUGGGCCAUAGGCCAUGUUUUUGCUCCUAUACAUAGGCAUGAAUUUUACAAUGUGAAAAUACAUUAAAAUACAAUGCAUUUUCUAAUGUAACACAAAGCUAUCUGAAGUCACAAGGCCAUUCAGACCUCAAUAUCUUUGCCAGUAUUUCACCUUGAAUGCCAUAUUAAUUUUUGUGGAAUAUGAACCUAAAAUAAUAAAACUGUCCAAUAUUAUUUUAAUAUUAGACUUUCAACCUACAUACUAUACUAGAUAUAUCUGAACAGCGCUCUCUGUAGCCUUCUCAGACCACAAGCUCUCUGAGCAAGGAUCGUGUUCUUCUCUUUGUUUAUGUGUUUCCUAAACUGUUGCAGUCUACAAAAAAACUUUUCUACUGUAAGACAUUUGUUGAACUCUGAAAAACCCUCAUUUAUUUUAUCUCAAUAUGUAGUAUAUAUAUAUAAAAACUGAUAAAUAUAUAUAUUUGCUCACAUGAAGAGAUUGUGCUACUUCAUGGUAAUUCUUCCUGACUUAGUCAGACUCUCCAUAUAAUACUACAUUCUUUUUUCUCUUCCCAACAUUUAAAUGUAAUGCUAACUGCUAUUUUUAAUGUACUUUUUAUAAUAAGAAAAAGC